AUUGAACGCUGGCGGAAUGCUUUACACAUGCAAGUCGAACGGCAGCACGGGGGCAACCCUGGUGGCGAGUGGCGAACGGGUGAGUAAUACAUCGGAACGUGCCCGGUCGUGGGGGAUAACGUAGCGAAAGUUACGCUAAUACCGCAUACGAUCUGAGGAUGAAAGCGGGGGACCUUCGGGCCUCGCGCGAUCGGAGCGGCCGAUGGCAGAUUAGGUAGUUGGUGGGGUAAAGGCCUACCAAGCCGACGAUCUGUAGCUGGUCUGAGAGGACGACCAGCCACACUGGGACUGAGACACGGCCCAGACUCCUACGGGAGGCAGCAGUGGGGAAUUUUGGCCAAUGGGCGCAAGCCUGAUCCAGCCAUUCCGCGUGCAGGACGAAGGCCUUCGGGUUGUAAACUGCUUUUGUAUGGAACGAAAAGGCUCUGGCUAAUACCUGGGGCUCAUGACGGUACCGUAAGAAUAAGCACCGGCUAACUACGUG
rnacentral:rRNA from 1 species